rnacentral:rRNA from 1 species
UACGUAGGGUGCAAGCGUUGUCCGGAAUUAUUGGGCGUAAAGAGCUUGUAGGCGGUUUGUCGCGUCUGCUGUGAAAAUCCGGGGCUCAACCCCGGACUUGCAGUGGGUACGGGCAGACUAGAGUGUGGUAGGGGAGACUGGAAUUCCUGGUGUAGCGGUGAAAUGCGCAGAUAUCAGGAGGAACACCGAUGGCGAAGGCAGGUCUCUGGGCCACUACUGACGCUGAGAAGCGAAAGCAUGGGGAGCGAACAGG